rnacentral:lncRNA from 1 species
AUGCUUUUACGACGGUCCUGCCGUAUCACGAGUCCGAGGAGCACUAGGCAUGUUUUUCUCCAUGAGUGCGGGGGAAUAGCGAUCUCCAGCCGUGUGCGUUCCUGUGCAAAAAACCACACGUCUGUCCCCUCUCCUACCCUUGUUAAAUAUGCCUACUGCUGUACUGUUGGGCUGCUGUUAACUUCCAUUAAAGUAUAUCCGGACAUCACUCUCUGUGCCCCACUCUCUGACCGGAGUUUUAAGUCCUGAGGGAGCUAUCAUCCCAGCAUCCCAGAGAUAACUCUCUAACAGUUAUGGUAGAGGCUGUGCCAACGAGUAAAGCGUCUGUUUUGGAGGAGAACCAUGAUCUAAUCUCCAUAAGACAGUUUGAGAGGAAGGUAGGUGGAAGAGCUGAAUUAGGUUUGGAGGAAAUGUAGAGCUGGGUCUCAUCAGCAUAACAAUGAAAAUUGAUAUUAUAUUUUCGGAACAUAUGGCCAAGAGGGAGCAUGUCUGGCAGAUUUAGGCCCCUCAUCCUCAACCACAAAUGGCUGGGGAUGAAGGGAAGAAGACAGGACAAAGACGGGCUGUGGAAGAGACCAAACUGUGAGUUACCCCCUUAAUGUAUACCCAGUGUUUGGACUCUUACUGUGAAAAUGAUGUGAAACCAACAGAUGACAGUAAAAUAGACAAAAAUGUGUAUUACUCUCCAUCACAGAACAGCUGCCAGUGGGAUAAAUGUGUCUGAGUUUAAGGCUUUGUGCUUUGAAAAUGUGUGUAAUUUGAUUCUAAAUCAGCUGAUAGCUUUGAAAAUACAACAGCAGCUACUAUUAAAGGAUUAAUGAGUCAAAAAAGGAAAUUCUACAGAGCUUUGUGAGUAUUUGAGCAUUUCUCCCACUUAAACACUGAUCAGGCACAAAACUAAAGCUCAGAAUAUCAUUUCUGCAGCACACCCUGACAGCGGGUGACUCCCCAGGCCUCUGAGGAUCCAAAUUCCAUUCCAGCCAUACAUUUGACAGUUAAAUGAUGUAGUUUUGAUUUAUUAAGUCUAUAUAUUUGGCUUCAGUAAAUCCAAUAGUUUAUAUUAAUUUACUCAGCAUCAAUCAAACACCUCAGAGCAACAAAAUGUUGGUAAAGCCAAACACCUGGCUGUUCCCAGUAUCGCUCUCUGUUCUGUGGAGGGCUGAAUCAGAACUGAAUAACAUGAACACAGUUUGUGAGCAACAAAAACUGUAGAAAAAUCGCCACAUGUAGAAUUUCACUCACUCCAUUUGGAAAGUUCUUUUGAAACAAGUUAAAAUCGGUCUUUGACUCAGUGUCCAAUUAAAUCAAUGUAAUGUAACAGACACGCAUUUUAUUCUACAUGCCUCAAUGCUAUACUUUUAUGAAUGUUAUAAAAAUCUUAACUCUAGCGACUUUUAUACACAGACUUUCCAUCCAGUGCUGCGAAAUUAAAUACAUUCAUUUUUUACAGCCUAUAUUAAAACAUACCAUUUAAAGGUAACCGACAUUAUGUUGUAAAAAAAAAAAAAAAUCAGUGCUGUCAAAGUAAACCCAUACGACAAGAAAGUACGUACAGUACUGUGUGAAAAUCUUGAACCACACUUAGUUUCUUUAUAUUUUGCUUCUGAGCAUCCAGACUUUCUUUUAAUGUUUAAAAGCGAUCUUGAGCAAUAGUUUUCCAGGCUUUCUGAAGGUCUUUCAAAGUUGUUUAUGUAUUGGUUGCUUUUUCACUCAAUUUCAGUCCCUGGGCUCAACCAGUGUUGCACCCAUAACAGACAACUUAGCAAAGAACCAAUUUUUACCUGCUUUGUACCAACAGUAAGUUCAGACUGUGUUGAAGAAUGAAGUUUCUCAUACCAAAUGUUGACUUUCAAGGUCAUUAGACUUGUACAAACUCUGUUUACUGUAUUUCCAUGUAUGCUUGCUCACUGUAAAAAAUCAUUGCACCCAUUUCCAUAGCAAAAACAAAUAAAUGGGUGGUGCAAGAC